rnacentral:lncRNA from 1 species
UUUGGGGGCUCAUCGAACUGGGGCUUCCGGUCACCUGAUGACACGGCUCUGCGCCCAGCUCGGGGGCUGGCAUGCCUUGAGUUUUCAGGGACCUCCAGCUUUGGAGACCUACUCGUGCAGAUCCUGGGGAGUCUUACCAGGGACACAUCCAUGAGGCUGACGACGCCAGGCCCAUCCAGGUCCUGUCUCCUCGGAGCCCAGGCUAUAAGUGC